AUAUAAAAAGGGUCCACCACCUCACCACAUUGGACCAUCUGAUCCUCACAACAACUUGGCACAGGUUUCACGCCGGAUGCCCGUCCUGGCGCAACCCUCCCAUUUUAUCUGGGCUUGGGACUGGCACUGCAUCCAGUGGCUGGGUUUGGGUAUUUUGAUACAAUGUGCCGGAGCAGUGGUGUAGGUUGCUGCGACAUCAUGUGCUUUUCAGAGCUGGGGCAGAGGGUUACCACCUUGGGGUGAUUGGCAGUCACAGUUAAAACAGACCGCACCCUCAAUCAAUCCCAGUAUGAGUACAUCAGGAGCAGGGGCGUCUCCACAGGGAGGAUCAGCUACUGCUGAUGUGCAGAGAUGCUGUGGUUCAGAUACGCAAACAGGAGCAACACUCAGCACGGUGCACAACACACACAGCUCAGCACUUUACUGGGACACAAACACUGGCAUGUAGUGCAGUUAGUGACAGCAGCUCUGAAAUGUCAUGAGUAUGAUAAGCUGAUCCAGUUUUCGGGAAGCGACGUUCUCCUCUACCUAACCAAGUCAGAGAACUGGAGUUGUCAGAGUGUGAAGGUGCGCAGGGAGCUCAUCAAGGUCGUAGCAAAUACUGCAAAAAACUAGAUUUAGAUUUUCCUUUCUUGUGUGUUUUGUUUGCCAACAAUUUAUUUAUAAACGUCUAAUCAAGAAUUAAAAGUCUAGCUAGAC